UUAAGCGACUAAGCGUACACGGUGGAUGCCCUGGCAGUCAGAGGCGAUGAAGGACGUGCUAAUCUGCGAAAAGCGCCGGCGAGGUGAUAUGAACCUUUGACCCGGCGAUGUCCGAAUGGGGAAACCCAGUGCAAUUCGUUGCACUAUCGUUAACUGAAUACAUAGGUUAACGAGGCGAACCGGGGGAACUGAAACAUCUAAGUACCCCGAGGAAAAGAAAUCAACCGAGAUUCCCCCAGUAGCGGCGAGCGAACGGGGAGCAGCCCAGAGUCUGAAUCAGCUUGUGUGUUAGUGGAAGCGUCUGGAAAGUCGCACGGUACAGGGUGACAGUCCCGUACACGAAAGCACACAGGUUGUGAACUCGAAGAGUAGGGCGGGACACGUGGUAUCCUGUCUGAAUAUGGGGGGACCAUCCUCCAAGGCUAAAUACUCCUGACUGACCGAUAGUGAACCAGUACCGUGAGGGAAAGGCGAAAAGAACCCCGGCGAGGGGAGUGAAAAAGAACCUGAAACCGUGUACGUACAAGCAGUGGGAGCACCUUCGUGGUGUGACUGCGUACCUUUUGUAUAAUGGGUCAGCGACUUAUAUUCUGUAGCAAGGUUAACCGUAUAGGGGAGCCGAAGGGAAACCGAGUCUUAACUGGGCGUUAAGUUGCAGGGUAUAGACCCGAAACCCGGUGAUCUAGCCAUGGGCAGGUUGAAGGUUGGGUAACACUAACUGGAGGACCGAACCGACUAAUGUUGAAAAAUUAGCGGAUGACUUGUGGCUGGGGGUGAAAGGCCAAUCAAACCGGGAGAUAGCUGGUUCUCCCCGAAAGCUAUUUAGGUAGCGCCUCGUGAACUCAUCUUCGGGGGUAGAGCACUGUUUCGGCUAGGGGGCCAUCCCGGCUUACCAACCCGAUGCAAACUACGAAUACCGAAGAAUGUUAUCACGGGAGACACACGGCGGGUGCUAACGUCCGUCGUGAAGAGGGAAACAACCCAGACCGCCAGCUAAGGUCCCAAAGUCAUGGUUAAGUGGGAAACGAUGUGGGAAGGCACAGACAGCCAGGAUGUUGGCUUAGAAGCAGCCAUCAUUUAAAGAAAGCGUAAUAGCUCACUGGUCGAGUCGGCCUGCGCGGAAGAUGUAACGGGGCUAAACCAUGCACCGAAGCUGCGGCAGCGACGCUUAUGCGUUGUUGGGUAGGGGAGCGUUCUGUAAGCCGUUGAAGGUGUGCUGUGAGGCAUGCUGGAGGUAUCAGAAGUGCGAAUGCUGACAUAAGUAACGAUAAAGCGGGUGAAAAGCCCGCUCGCCGGAAGACCAAGGGUUCCUGUCCAACGUUAAUCGGGGCAGGGUGAGUCGACCCCUAAGGCGAGGCCGAAAGGCGUAGUCGAUGGGAAACAGGUUAAUAUUCCUGUACUUGGUGUUACUGCGAAGGGGGGACGGAGAAGGCUAUGUUAGCCGGGCGACGGUUGUCCCGGUUUAAGCAUGUAGGCGGAGGUUCCAGGUAAAUCCGGUACCUUUUAACGCUGAGGUGUGAUGACGAGGCACUACGGUGCUGAAGUAACAAAUGCCCUGCUUCCAGGAAAAGCCUCUAAGCAUCAGGUAACAUCAAAUCGUACCCCAAACCGACACAGGUGGUCAGGUAGAGAAUACCAAGGCGCUUGAGAGAACUCGGGUGAAGGAACUAGGCAAAAUGGUGCCGUAACUUCGGGAGAAGGCACGCUGAUAUGUAGGUGAAGCCCCUGCGGGUGGAGCUGAAAUCAGUCGAAGAUACCAGCUGGCUGCAACUGUUUAUUAAAAACACAGCACUGUGCAAACACGAAAGUGGACGUAUACGGUGUGACGCCUGCCCGGUGCCGGAAGGUUAAUUGAUGGGGUUAGCGGCAACGCGAAGCUCUUGAUCGAAGCCCCGGUAAACGGCGGCCGUAACUAUAACGGUCCUAAGGUAGCGAAAUUCCUUGUCGGGUAAGUUCCGACCUGCACGAAUGGCGUAAUGAUGGCCAGGCUGUCUCCACCCGAGACUCAGUGAAAUUGAACUCGCUGUGAAGAUGCAGUGUACCCGCGGCAAGACGGAAAGACCCCGUGAACCUUUACUAUAGCUUGACACUGAACACUGGUCCUUGAUGUGUAGGAUAGGUGGGAGGCUUUGAAGCGUGGACGCCAGUCUGCGUGGAGCCAACCUUGAAAUACCACCCUUUAAUGGCUGGUGUUCUAACGUAGACCCGUAAUCCGGGUUGCGGACAGUGUCUGGUGGGUAGUUUGACUGGGGCGGUCUCCUCCCAAAGAGUAACGGAGGAGCACGAAGGUUAGCUAAUCCUGGUCGGACAUCAGGAGGUUAGUGCAAUGGCAUAAGCUAGCUUGACUGCGAGAGUGACGGCUCGAGCAGGUGCGAAAGCAGGUCAUAGUGAUCCGGUGGUUCUGAAUGGAAGGGCCAUCGCUCAACGGAUAAAAGGUACUCCGGGGAUAACAGGCUGAUACCGCCCAAGAGUUCAUAUCGACGGCGGUGUUUGGCACCUCGAUGUCGGCUCAUCACAUCCUGGGGCUGAAGUAGGUCCCAAGGGUAUGGCUGUUCGCCAUUUAAAGUGGUACGCGAGCUGGGUUUAGAACGUCGUGAGACAGUUCGGUCCCUAUCUGCCGUGGGCGCUGGAGAAUUGAGGGGGGCUGCUCCUAGUACGAGAGGACCGGAGUGGACGCAUCACUGGUGUUCGGGUUGUCAUGCCAAUGGCACUGCCCGGUAGCUAAAUGCGGAAAAGAUAAGUGCUGAAAGCAUCUAAGCACGAAACUUGCCCCGAGAUGAGUUCUCCCUGACUCCUUGAGAGUCCUGAAGGAACGUUGAAGACUACGACGUUGAUAGGUCGGGUGUGUAAGCGCAGCGAUGCGUUGAGCUAACCGAUACUAAUGAACCGUGAGGCUUAACCU
rnacentral:rRNA from 1 species